AUUGAACGCUGGCGGCAUGCCUUACACAUGCAAGUCGAACGGCAGCAUGAUCUAGCUUGCUAGAUUGAUGGCGAGUGGCGAACGGGUGAGUAAUACAUCGGAACGUGCCCUGUAGUGGGGGAUAACUAGUCGAAAGAUUAGCUAAUACCGCAUACGACCUGAGGGUGAAAGUGGGGGACCGCAAGGCCUCAUGCUAUAGGAGCGGCCGAUGUCUGAUUAGCUAGUUGGUGAGGUGAAGGCUCACCAAGGCGACGAUCAGUAGCUGGUCUGAGAGGACGAUCAGCCACACUGGGACUGAGACACGGCCCAGACUCCUACGGGAGGCAGCAGUGGGGAAUUUUGGACAAUGGGCGAAAGCCUGAUCCAGCAAUGCCGCGUGUGUGAAGAAGGCCUUCGGGUUGUAAAGCACUUUUGUCCGGAAAGAAAUGGCUCUGGUUAAUACCUGGGGUCGAUGACGGUACCGGAAGAAUAAGGACCGGCUAACUACGUG
rnacentral:rRNA from 1 species